CGUUAAUCAUUAAAUUAAACACUUAUCAAUUAAGGGUAUGAAAACAUUUUCGGCUCAAAAUAAAGUCAUUCAAAACUCCAAAGAAAGAAAUAAAGACUCAACAUAUGAAACAAAAAUGAUAAAAACUACAUGUCCAGAACUUCAUGCAAUUAAUAUAAAAACUCAUAUUCCAAUGUCACAUCCUAUCAGAGUAUUGUAUCCUAGUGUCCUCUAGC
rnacentral:lncRNA from 1 species